rnacentral:rRNA from 1 species
UGAGGAAUCUUCGGCAAUGGGGGCAACCCUGACCGAGCAACGCCGCGUGCAGGAAGAAGGUUUUCGGAUCGUAAACUGCUUUUCUGUGGGACGAGCAAGGACGGUACCACAGGAAGAAGCCCCGGCUAACUACGUGCCAGCAGCCGCGGUAAUACGUAGGGGGCGAGCGUUGUCCGGAGUUACUGGGCGUAAAGGGCACGUAGGCGGUGCUGCGCGUUCGUGGUCACAGCUCCCGGCUUCACUGGGAGAGCGUCACGAAAACGGCAGGACUUGAGGGCUCAAGAGGGAACGGGAACUCCUGGUGGAGCGGUGAAAUGCGUAGAGAUCAGGAAGAACACCAAAGGCGAAGGCACGUUCCUGGGGAGUCACUGACGCUGAGGUGCGAGAGCUAGGGGAGCAAACGGG